rnacentral:rRNA from 1 species
CCUACGGGUGGCAGCAGUGGGGAAUAUUGGACAAUGGGGGGAACCCUGAUCCAGCCAUGCCGCGUGUGUGAAGAAGGCCCUCGGGUUGUAAAGCACUUUCAGUGAGGAAGAACGCCUGGUGGUUAAUACCCAUCAGGAAAGACAUCACUCACACAAGAAGCACCGGCUAACUCCGUGCCAGCAGCCGCGGUAAUACGGAGGGUGCGAGCGUUAAUCGGAAUUACUGGGCGUAAAGCGCGCGUAGGUGGCUUGAUAAGCCGGUUGUGAAAGCCCCGGGCUCAACCUGGGAACGGCAUCCGGAACUGUCAAGCUAGAGUGCAGGAGAGGAAGGUAGAAUUCCCGGUGUAGCGGUGAAAUGCGUAGAGAUCGGGAGGAAUACCAGUGGCGAAGGCGGCCUUCUGGACUGACACUGACACUGAGGUGCGAAAGCGUGGGUAGCAAACAGGAUUAGAUACCCUAGUAGUC